GAUGAACGCUGGCGGUAUGCCUAACACAUGCAAGUCGUACGAGAGUUUUUAACUCUAGUGGCGGACGGGUGAGUAACACGUGAGAAUUUGCCUUUAGGAGGGGGACAACAAUUGGAAACGAAUGCUAAUACCCCAUAUGCUUUCGAGUGAAAUGGAUUUUAUCCGCCUAGAGAGAAGCUCGCGGCUGAUUAGCUUGUUGGUAAGGUAAGAGCUUACCAAGGCGACGAUCAGUAUCUGGUUUGAGAGGACGUUCAGACACACUGGAACUGAGACACGGUCCAGACUCCUACGGAGGCAGCAGUGGGGAAUUUUCCGCAAUGGGCGAAAGGCCUGACGGAGCAAUACCGCGUGAGGGAGAAUGCCUAUGGGUU
rnacentral:rRNA from 1 species